rnacentral:rRNA from 1 species
UACGUAGGUGGCAAGCGUUGUCCGGAUUUACUGGGCGUAAAGGGCGUGCAGGCGGCUUGUUAAGUGCAGGGUGAAAGCUCCCGGCUCAACUGGGAGAGGUUCUUGCAUACUGGCGAGCUCGAGGGAGGCAGAGGAAAGUGGAAUUCCCGGUGUAGUGGUGAUAUGCGUAGAUAUCGGGAGGAACACCAGUGGCGAAGGCGGUUACCUGGGGCUUUGCUGACGCUGAUGCGCGAAAGCGUGGGGAGCGAUCCGG